AGUGAACGCUGGCGGCAGGCCUACACAUGCAAGUCGAGCGGCAGCGCGGUGGUAGCAAUACCAUGGGCGGCGAGCGGCGGACGGGUGAGGAACACAUCGGAAUCUACCCUGUCGUGGGGGACAACGUAGGGAAACUUACGCUAAUACCGCAUACGACCUUUGGGUGAAAGUGGGGGACCCGCAAGGGCCUCACGCGAUUGGAUGAGCCGAUGUCCGAUUAGCUAGUUGGCGGGGUAAUGGCCCACCAAGGCGACGAUCGGUAGCUGGUCUGAGAGGACGACCAGCCACACUGGAACUGAGACACGGUCCAGACUCCUACGGGAGGCAGCAGUGGGGAAUAUUGGACAAUGGGGGCAACCCUGAUCCAGCCAUGCCGCGUGGGUGAAGAAGGCCUUCGGGUUGUAAAGCCCUUUUGUACGGGAAGAAAAGCUUCUGGUUAAUAACCGGGAGUCAUGACGGUACCGUAAGAAUAAGCACCGGCUAACUUCGUGCCAGCAGCCGCGGUAAUACGAAGGGUGCAAGCGUUACUCGGAAUUACUGGGCGUAAAGCGUGCGUAGGCGGUAUGUUAAGUCUGAUGUGAAAUCCCCGGGCUCAACCUGGGAAUGGCAUUGGAUACUGGCAGGCUAGAGUACGGUAGAGGGUGGUGGAAUUCCCGGUGUAGCAGUGAAAUGCGUAGAGAUCGGGAGGAACAUCUGUGGCGAAGGCGGCCACCUGGACCAGUACUGACGCUGAGGCACGAAAGCGUGGGGAGCAAACAGGAUUAGAUACCCUGGUAGUCCACGCCCUAAACGAUGCGAACUGGAUGUUGGGUGCAACUUGGCACUCAGUAUCGAAGCUAACGCGUUAAGUUCGCCGCCUGGGGAGUACGGUCGCAAGACUG
rnacentral:rRNA from 1 species